rnacentral:rRNA from 1 species
GACGAACGCUGGCGGCGUGCCUAAUACAUGCAAGUCGAGCGAUGAAGCUUGGUUCUUGCACCAAUUUGAAGAGCAGCGAACGGGUGAGUAACGCGUGUGGAAUCUGCCUUUGAGCGGGGUACAACAUGUGGAAACGAAUGCUAAUACCGCAUAACAACUUUAAACAUAAGGUUGAAGUGUGAAAGAUGCAAUUGCAUCACUCAAAGAUGAUCUCGCGUUGUAUUAGCUAGUUGGUGAGGUAAAGGCUCACCAAGGCGAGGAAACAUAGCCGACCUGAGAGGGUGAUCGGCCGCAUUGAGACUGAGACACGGGCCAAUCGCCUACGGGAGGGAGCCGUAGGGCAUCGUGGGCCAUCGGCGGAAGUCUGACCGAGAAACGCCGAGGGAGGGAAGAAGGUUGUCGGAUCGUAAAACUCUGUUGGUAGAGAAGAAAGUUGGUGAGAGUGGAAAGCUCAUCAAGUGACGGUAACUACUCAGAAAGAGACGGCUAACUACGUG